GAGACCGAGGGGCUUUAGCCUCAGCAGCCGGUGACGGUGGCGUCCAGGCCGGAGCGCUUCGUGAUGUUGACCUUAACCAGCUCCUCGGCACAGGUCGGGUGGAUCCCGACCGUCUUCAACAGUACAACUCUCCCAUACAAAAGGACUUUGGAAAGGUGCUGAAGUCGACUCUACAUUGCAUCAAACCUGUCCAGGGUGUCCCUUGACCCCUCCAACCCAUGAAGCCGAUGCACGAAUGAGAACCAGCAACACUCAUGUUCAUGAUAAGGAGCUGGAGACGACCACCUUACCUCAAUGCCAUCCUUGCCAUGUCUCCUCUCAGCCUCCUCUUCAGACAGACCCACACAGCCGUACUCCAGAGGGGUGAACACAGUGGUGGCCACCUGAUACACAGAACAUCACAGUUGAGAGAGAGUCCCAGCUGACAGCUACUUAGAACCCGAGCGAUUGUCGAGUUCCUCUCUUUGCUUGUUUGUGCACAGCCAGCUUAUAACCACUGUCAUUAUUACAGUACAUUGUUAUUACUAUUGUGGCUAGAAU